AGUGAACGCUCGCGGUAGGCCUAACACAUGCAAGUCGAACGGCAGCACAGUAAGAGCUUGCUCUUACGGGUGGCGAGUGGCGGACGGGUGAGGAAUACAUCGGAAUCUACUUUUUCGUGGGGGAUAACGUAGGGAAACUUACGCUAAUACCGCAUACGACCUACGGGUGAAAGCAGGGGAUCUUCGGACCUUGCGCGAAUGAAUGAGCCGAUGUCGGAUUAGCUAGUUGGCGGGGUAAAGGCCCACCAAGGCGACGAUCCGUAGCUGGUGUGAGAGGGUGAUCAGCCACACUGGAACUGAGACACGGUCCAGACUCCUACGAGAAGCGGCAGUGGGGAAUAUUGGACAGUGGGCGCAAGCCUGAUCCAGCCAUACCGCGUGGGUGAAGAAGGCCUUCGGGUUGUAAAGCCCUUUUGUUGGGAAAGAAAAGCAGCAGGUUAAUACCCCGCUGUUCUGACGGUACCCAAAGAAUAAGCACCGACUAACUUCGUG
rnacentral:rRNA from 1 species